GAUGAACGCUGGCGGCGUGCCUAAUACAUGCAAGUCGAGCGAACGGACGAGAAGCUUGCUUCUCUGAUGUUAGCGGCGGACGGGUGAGUAACACGUGGAUAACCUACCUAUAAGACUGGGAUAACUUCGGGAAACCGGAGCUAAUACCGGAUGAUAUUUUGAACCGCAUGGUUCAAAAGUGAAAGACGGUCUUGCUGUCACUUAUAGAUGGAUCCGCGCUGCAUUAGCUAGUUGGUAAGGUAACGGCUUACCAAGGCAACGAUGCAUAGCCGACCUGAGAGGGUGAUCGGCCACACUGGAACUGAGACACGGUCCUGACUCCUACGGGAGGCAGCAGUAGGGAAUCUUCCGCAAUGGGCGAAAGCCUGACGGAGCAACGCCGCGUGAGUGAUGAAGGUCUUCGGAUCGUAAAGCUCUGUUAUUAGGGAAGAACAUAUGUGUAAGUAACUGUGCACAUCUUGACGGUACCUAAUCAGAAAGCCACGGCUAACUACGUG
rnacentral:rRNA from 1 species